CAAGAAAUAGUUUAUUUAAAAUAUUAAUUUUGGGGAUUAAUGAUAUAAUUGUUUUUAUUUUCUUGA
rnacentral:tRNA from 1 species